UGUAUAAUGUAUAAUGACUCAUCACUCUGCUACAUACAGUUUCACUAAUGAUUUCUUCAAUCCUAUUUGGUUCUUACCCGUUUUUGGCUGCAUUGGACGAUGAGGAAAGUCUCUAUACUAUGCUCCUUGAGCAACCCUCUGAGGUGAACUGAGCUAAGAGCGAGUGACUGCCCCAACAUCACCCAGCUGGCUUUCAUGUCUAAGGCGAGCUUGAAUGCAUUCCCUUGUUUCCUGAAAGGCCUGUCUUUGGGACACUUCAGCUGGAUAGUGCGUACAGACCCCUACAAUGUUUGUGCAGAUGAAGAUGAGGAUGUUGG